rnacentral:rRNA from 1 species
UACGAAGGGGGCUAGCGUUGCUCGGAAUGACUGGGCGUAAAGGGCGCGUAGGCGGCUUGCACAGUCAGGCGUGAAAUUCCUGGGCUCAACCUGGGGACUGCGCUUGAGACGUGUGGGCUUGAGUGGGGAAGAGGGUCGUGGAAUUCCCAGUGUAGAGGUGAAAUUCGUAGAUAUUGGGAAGAACACCGGUGGCGAAGGCGGCGACCUGGUCCUUGACUGACGCUGAGGCGCGAAAGCGUGGGGAGCGAACCGG